rnacentral:rRNA from 1 species
GACGAACGCUGGCGGCGUGCCUAAUACAUGCAAGUAGGACGCAGUUGCGAACGGGUGAGUAACGCGUAGGUAACUACCUAUUAGAGGGGGAUAACUAUUGGAAACGAUAGCUAAUACCGCAUACUAGUAGAUGGACCUGCGUUGUAUUAGCUAGUAGGUAGGGUAAUGGCCUACCUAGGCAAAGAUACAUAUCCGACCGGAGAGGGGGAGCGGACACACUUGGACUCAGAAACCGCCCAGACGCCCACGGGAGGCAGCAGUAGGGAAUCUUCGGCAAUGGGGGGAACCCUGACCGAGCAACGCCGCGUGAGUGAAGAAGGGUUUCGGGUCGUAAAGCUCUGUUGUUAAGGAAGCGGUACUUAACCAGAAAGGGACGGCUAACUACGUGCCAGCAGCCGCGGUAAUUC